rnacentral:rRNA from 1 species
UUUUAUGGAGAGUUUGAUCCUGGCUCAGGAUGAACGCUGGCGGCGUGCCUAAUACAUGCAAGUCGAGCGAACAGACGAGGAGCUUGCUCCUCUGACGUUAGCGGCGGACGGGUGAGUAACACGUGGAUAACCUACCUAUAAGACUGGGAUAACUUCGGGAAACCGGAGCUAAUACCGGAUAAUAUAUUGAACCGCAUGGUUCAAUAGUGAAAGACGGUUUUGCUGUCACUUAUAGAUGGAUCCGCGCCGCAUUAGCUAGUUGGUAAGGUAACGGCUUACCA